rnacentral:rRNA from 1 species
AGCUUCAAUAGCGUAUAUUAACAUUGUUGCAGUUGAAAAGCUCGUAGUUGAAUUUCUGACAGAAGUGACCAUACCUUUAACGUAAUGUUAUUGUUUGUUUUUGUGUCUAACUUUAGUCAUCAUUUGUUUUUUAUUUUUAAGAAACAAUCAUUUACUGUAAAUAAAAUAGAGUGAUUUAAGCACUUUGUUCUGAAGAGAAUAUACUAUUAUGGAAUAAUAAGAUAGGACUUUGAUGCUAUUUUGUUGGUUUGUACAUCAAGGUAAUGAUUAAUAGGGAUGGUUGGGGGUAUUUGUAUUUAAAUGUCAGAGGUGAAAUUCUUGGAUUUUUUAAAGACAAACUACUGCGAAGGCAUUUACCAAAGACAUUCUCA